CGUGGGCCGCGGGGCGGGGCCAGGGCGGGUGCGCGGCGGCGGCGGGGUGGCUGGGCCGGCGGCGGCGGCGGUACGAGGCGCGCGCUCGGGGUCCCGGUCGCGAGGAGGAGGAGGAUGUGGCGCGCGGAGGGGAAAUGGCUGCCGAAAACAAGCCGGAAGAGCGUUUCCCAAAGUGUAUUCUGCGGAACUAGCACCUACUGUGUUCUCAACACCGUGCCACCUAUAGAAGAUGAUCAUGGGAACAGCAAUAGUAGUCAUGUAAAAAUCUUUUUACCGAAAAAGCUGCUUGAAUGUCUGCCGAAAUGUUCAAGUUUACCAAAAGAGAGGCACCGUUGGAACACUAAUGAGAGAUCAUGAUGCAGCCGUCCUUUUGGAUUUCUUUUUAAUAAUGUGUGACCCUUCACCUUUGAUCCCCUGACCUGCAUUACCUUGAUUUACUGCUGAAACUUUAGUAACCACGUAGCCGUCUCGACUGCAUGGAGGCAGCUGUUGGCCUGCAGCAGAUAAGCAUUUGCCCCUUUCUUGUCUUUAAGACUGAAGGAGCUCCACGGCCUGACUCAGCUCUGCAGAGCAGGUUUCUACAUGCUGCAUGGUCCCGAGGCCUCCAUGACCAGCCGUGAAGCCCCUCUGUGCCCUCGAGCAAGCUUCCCUUUUCUCCUAGCAAUGAUGUAUGCGCAUCUUGAUGACCGCCUGUCUCUGGUGAGAAUGGAAGCUCCGUGAGGGCAGGGCCUCUGUCUUGUCUCCCUUGUGUGCCCAGGGCAUAGGAUAGUGCACAGUGGCUUCAAAUAAAUGCUGCUGAGCGAACGAGGGAUCACGGUGUUGCGUCCUUCCUGCGUGUCUGCCUGUGAUUUGCUGUUUCUAUAUGUAUACUGUGUACUUCUGAAAUGAUAAAGCAGUGAAAAUUUGGGAGUGAAUAUAAAAAUUUGAUCUUGAGUGAAGUAACUGGCAGCCCCAUUGAGGAUGGUGUGUAUGAAGCUGAAGCACGCCAGGACUCGGAACCGUGAGUUAUUAUGCAUUUGCCGUGUGCCUUGGACUCGUGCCUCCCAAUGCAAAGGAGAAACAGAAGUCAUGUCUCUGGGAUAUAAUGUCAAGACGUCUAGCGACAGCUUAGAAAGAAACACCAAAGAAUAAAAGUUGGGAGGUAGAAAACAAGCAGAUGCUUAUAACAAUACGUUCUAGCAUCAAGUAAGCUAGAUAAGCUAUUUUCCACCUCAAGUGGGCUUUAACGAAGUGCAGAGGGGACAGUUGUGGUCACAUGCCACGAUGGAGCGCACAUGUGCCUGUGGUCCCAUCGCAUCGCGUCGCCUGGUGGUGCAGCCGGCCCAGCUGGUGUAAGCGCACACGGUAUUCUCACAGUGACAGAUCCCCUGCAGUCAUCAUGUGUGUGUGUGCACGUUGUACUACAAGAGUACCUGUGUUUCCCUCUUCACCCUCACCGAUGCUGUGGUUACCCCAUCUUUAUUCUUUGUGUGUUGGCACAGGCCAAAAUUUCAAUAUUGAUUUUGAAAUACUUCGAGGAGAUUUUUUUUUUUAACAAGGCCAAAAACAAUACCUAGGAGAUGGUAUCCUGUGAUGUACAAGGUGAGUUUAUUUAUAGCACUAACUUGUGAUGAAUUGUUCAAAGAACUAAAACUUCUUUUCAGGUAUAAUUUAUUUGUCAUUUUUGUUUUGUUCAUUUUAGUGUAAACUUCAGCUGUUCCUUAGGCCCUGAAGAAAUCAGCUCAAACACUAGUCCAAUUAAAAUCUGAUUCUGGUUUACAUAGAGAAGUGACUGGUAUUUCUGAUCAAAUCAGUAAAUAUGUUUUAGUUCCUUUUACGUAAAGAGUGAAAAGCAAAGUCCCUAUGUUUAUGUACUACAAAGCAAAACAAAAACCUUUGAGGCAUGAUGUAUUUUUCAUUAAACUUAUUGCUGAAUUAUUUUGAUUAUAUGCUCUUACCCACCCAUGAAAGUAUAAGGAAUUCUAGGGUGAAGAAAUAAUUGCAGAACGCAGUUAAUGAGGCAGAACUCACAAAUCCAUAUUUAUAGUUGUGUAGACAAAUAAAUCAUCAGUGGGGGAUAGAGAUUAAAGAUGAAGUCGAGAUUGCAUUGAAGAAAUGCAGGGUUGAGCUUUGUAUAGGAUAGAAUUUUACAGCCUCUCAGAGGGGUGUUCUGAGUGUUAAAUUAGUGCAGAGUGCUUAGAACAGCGACCCAGAAUACAGGGAGCACUCUUUCAGUGUGGUGUGUGUUCUUACAAGAUUGUAGCGUGAAGAGUAAAUCAGGUUUUAAUCAUGCUCAACAAACUGCACCAUAAUCUCAUCACGGCAAACGGCCAUCUCUAAUUCAAUCAAGAGUGACUUCCAAAGCCAAGAAGAAGCCAGAAUGUUCUGUACACAUGAAAGGACAGGGUUGGGACAGGGUAUCCAGGUGACAGUCCUGGUGACUGACGGAGCAAGUGCGUCACUCUUUGGUUUAUCCGGGAGUUAUUUUCAUAAAUCUAAGGAUCUGAUGAACUUUGUUUUUAGUAUAUCCUGCUGUUGCAUGUGUGUACCUUUUAUGGAGUUAAAAUGAAAUACAAGACCAACAAAAGCUUAAGCUGCUGUCAAGAUGCAUACUUAACACUUCAUUGAUUUGAAAUCUGGUUUUCACUCAACAUUGUUGCAGUUAAAAUGUGGGACAGAAAAUGUCAAAGAGCAGUUCCAUGACUUGGUGCCCUCUGGUGGCUCACAGAGGACAUCGGGCAGGGAGGGGCUCUGGCCCACGGCCUUGGAGGGCUCUGCUGGAGGGUGGGGUGGGGGGAGCCACGCUAGGGCUGGUUCUUGUGGAGAGCUUUUCUCUCGGAUGAGUUUGGAAAGUCCCAGGGUGGUUGGUUUAUGCCUAUUGUGAUUUUUUUCCUCCUGCGUAUUUAGUGCUUGUCGCUUUGCUGCUCCGUGAAGCGUGGCCCUGGAGUUGACUCUGACAGUUUUGCAGUGUAUUGAGUGAAAUUCUGGGAGAAAAUUUUGUGUGGCUUUCCUGUGAGAAGGUUCUGAAGGGAACCAGGACUUCAGGUCUUACGGGCAUCUCUUAACUCCCUUUUCCAGGGGACAUCACGUCCCUUCCUGCAUUAAUGAGCCUAAAUGGUGGCAUUUGGGUGGCUGUGGCCAGUUUGGCACAGGCCGGUAGUUGAUUAGCCUUGGGGGAGUGGUGUUUCCAUUCUGGUCCUGCCCACCCUGGUCUCUUGUCCAGAUGCUGAUACUCUGGGAUCAGGCAGAUCAGGAACCUAACCCCACCUCCAACCCUGGGAACGUCAGCGUCUCCUGUGGUUUCUUUAGCUGUGAAGCAGGGAUGAUUUAGAGCCCGCAUCAAGAGUUGGUUGUGAAGAUGCGGUGAGGCAGUGGAUCUAAGAGUCCUGACAGUGACUUGGGCCCUGGGGACCUAUUUGCCUCUCCCUCUCUCUCAAAGGUGGACCCUCCCCUCCCCUUCCUUUUCGUGUUUGGUAUUUUGUUACAGUAAUGCGAAGCUGACCAGCACAGAUGGGGAAGUUAAUGUCUGUGUUUCAGUGAAGCAUCUUUGCAGUCCCAUGGCAACUUGUCACCCAAGGACAGAGUCAGGAGUGGGGACCGUCCAGCCCAUGGGCCAUAUGAUGACUUGUCACCCAGUGACAGUGUGAGUCAGGAGUGGGGGCCAUCCAGCCUGUGGGCCAUAUGAGGCCUGUGAUUUCAUUUGGGGGCCGUCCAACCUGUGGGCCAUAUGAGGCCUGUGAUGUCAUUUGGGGGCCGUCCAGCCCCUGGGCCAUAUGAGGCCUGUGACGUUAUUAGGUUUGGCAACUGCAGGCAGGACUUGAAAUUGAAUAAAUCUAUAGCAGGCAAAUUAAUUUGGCAAUUUUAUAUGAGCUGCAAAUGAUAUUAUAAAUAUGCAAAUAAAUCUUGGCAGAGAAAAGGUUCCCCACCCCUGGUUUAAGUCAAGUUGGAAGCACACAUCUUAAAGAAAAGGUAGCCUCCAGAUGUUUCUUGCCUUCCGAAAUAAACUCACUGAGCUUCCCAAUUCCAAGACUAGCUAAUUUUCAUCCAUAGCUAGCAUUGUUCUAUGAAGAAAAUAUUGUGCAGUUUAAGAAAGUGGUGUCAUAGCAUCUCAGUUGCGUUCUUAACAACCCAAAGAGCCUACAGAGAGAGCCUUGUCCCCUCCUUUUUCAUGAACCCAGAUGAAGUAAGGGAGGCCAGGGAGUGGCCUGGUGGAGGCCACGUGACCAAGAGUUGGAGCCUGGGUCCCUUGGAGUCGUAGCAGCUUGGCCUGAGCACUCCUGGGCUUUCCCGCAGCUCUCCUACACCGUGAGGCUUUGAAAUGCUGCUGUUGCCCUCUACAAUGACUGAAUUCUGCCCUGUGGCCACACUGUUAAUCUGCAUUAACAGUUCUUUCCUAUCAAAUAGACAGUUUCUGCAGUUCAUUUCACUCAGCUCUUUACUGAAUACUGUGAAGUCAGUGUUGUUAGUCUUGGUUACCAAAACCCUGCCAUACCGCCCUGUGCCCCCCUGACAGAGUCGGUGCCAUGAGCUGUUGCUGUGUGGCCACACCUUGUUUGGUCUUUGGGUUACCUAUUGUGUUAGCCAUAAACUCGACAGCAGAGCCACUGAAUACUUGAAUGAGGAGGUGGUGUGGUCUGAAAAGUGACAGCUGGGCCAGUGUCCUUGUGAAGCUAAGCCCAGUGCUUUGCUGGAACACCGAGAGAAGGCAGAAGCACAUCUCCUAGGUCUGGUUGGCUUUUGGUUUAGCCAACACGAUGGGGGUAGAUGCUUUUAUAUACACUUCAAUGCCUCUCUCUGUGGCAUACAAGUGGCAUUGUGUUGCCCGUGCCUGGGUUUGUUUGCUUGUGGGUCAGGCCUCCACUCCUCACAGCCUCCCGGUUCAGAGGAGCCAUGUGCUGGUGGCUGCAGCAGCAGCUGGCCCCAGGCUGUGACGUCUCCUUGCCCACCCUGAGUUUGGAGGGUGGUGGUUUUUUUUUUUUUUUUUUUUCUUCUUCUUUUUAAUCAAUGACAGGUAAAUUUACAAAGCAAAAGGCAAAUAUAUGAAUUAAGAUAUGCUUUAACUUUUUUUUUUUUUUUUUUUUUGACAGGCAGAGUGGACAGUGAGAGAGAGAGACAGAGAGAAAGGUCUUCCUUUGCUGUUGGUUCACCCUCCAAUGGCCGCCGCGGCCGGUGCGCUGCGGCCGGCGCACCGCGCUGAUCCGAUGGCAGGAGCCAGGAGCCAGGUGCUUUUCCUGGUCUCCCAUGGGGUGCAGGGCCCAAGCACCUGGGCCAUCCUCCACUGCACUCCCUGGCCACAGCAGAGAGCUGGCCUGGAAGAGGGGCAACCGGGACAGAAUCCGGCGCCCCAACCGGGACUAGAACCCGGUGUGCCGGCGCCGCUAGGCGGAGGAUUAGCCUAGUGAGCCGCGGCGCCGGCCUGCUUUAACUUUUUAAAGUUCUAACAGCCUCAUUAAAGAGCCCUUUAUUUUCCUUUUUCUUAUAAAAAGCUGAAAAAAUAUCUUAAGUAUCUGCCUGUUCUAGCCUGGCACAUGGGAAUUCUAGGGCAGCAUCCAGAGUAAUUUUCUGCUGGCCUGAGGCGGGGGUGGGGUGGGGUGGGGGCAGCUCUUUGCUUCCGGAACCUCGGCUGUCCGCUUCAGCUGUGCUGCUGUGCAGCCCCCCUGGCCACAGUGAGAGGAUCCUCCAGUGCGUAAGUCUGCAGACUUCCAAAUAAAGAUUUAGCUUGCAGGUGCACGUUGUGGCGGGAGCUGUGCAUUCUGAUAGGCUGUGUCCCAGCAAGGACGGGCAUGCACCCAAGAGGUUGCCAACAGUGCUGGUUCCUGGCAUCCGCUGGGCAGUGGUCGUUCUGUGUAACACUUAACUGUAACCCAUGGGCCAGUCUGAGUGUGGUGUUUUGUGUUCAUUCAUAGCUUGCUCACCUAGACUGGAAAAGAGAUAAAAGAUUUUUGGUAUUUAAAUGACCCAAACCAUCAAGCCCACUCCUCACAUACACAACUGACCCAGUUAUCCAAACAUUUUCUAUCAUUAUAAAUUUCUUAACAGCCAAGGAUGAGCACUUCAUUCCCCCUCUUUUUCUUUACUUACUAAAUAGAUUCACAGUGAAAAUCCAACAGGCUCCCCUAUUUAAACUUUGGAAGUGAAGGUUCAUGCGUCGAGGUGCCUCGUGGCAAGCACAGGUGUAUAAAUGGAGAACUGGGCGGUUGUUUGUUUGAGUUGGGUGUGACCUGUGAAAGAGCCUGCCUUGGCUGCCCACCUCCCACUUCUCCGUACAGGACUGAAAUAGAAAUUGGGAGGUCCCCCCUCCUUAAGAUUGAUUUAUUUAUCUGAAAGUCGGAGUUACAGAGAGGAAGAGACAGAUCUUCCAUCCACUGGUUCACUUCCCAGAUGGCAGCAGCUGCCAAGGUCGAAGCUAAGAGCUUGGAACUCCAUCCGUGUCUCCCACGUGGGUGGCAGGGGUGCGAGCAUUUGGGCCAUCUUCUGCUACUUUCUCAGUUGCCAAUUUUGAGAACUAGCUAUUCUCUGUAAAAGUGAAGUUGCUGGGAAAUUUGUUUUAAAAAUGAUGCUACCUUCUAUUUCUGUGAACCCAGUAAAAAUAGCAUGGAAAAAUUUAAUUACGCUAUACUGAAUAUUUCAUGUGGAAUUAAGGGGCAAAAGCUGCCUUUGAAAAGCAUUAGGUUUGGAAAGAAUAAAGGCUUCGUAGGUUCUUUGGAAGAUACUAUAAUUAAAAGAUUUGCUCAAAUGUAUUUUUCCCUUUUUGAAGAGUUUAGAGAAAUCCACCCGUCCCUUCCCAAAUUGAUUACCUCUCAGACACCAGCCCCGCUUGGCAGUGGAUUUGGCGAGUCUGUGGUGGUGCUGAUUUGAUGGCUGCUUUCUGUAAAUGUAAAAUAGUUUUUUUAAUCUUCUGAUGUAGAUGUUUAAUAGAAAGUAACUGUUUGACUUGCUUUGGUUUCUGCUGAACCUGUAUUUGAAUCCACACAAACAGCUUGAAUAAAGUGAAAACAUCACUGGACCAGCUAUUUUAAACAUUUCAGGAUAUAAGGAUGCUAAAUGGGGUUCCCUUUUAAAAAUAGAAAUAGCUGCUUGCAUUUACAUAAUUACUGCUAACUAGCACAACAUUUUAAAUGGUGACAAACUCAGGGUGGAGAAAGUAUCUGUUUUUAAAAGCCUGGUGAAGGGUGCUGAAAGUGUUCUGUGAACAGCUGCUUGGGGUGGAGGGUCUUUGCAAACCCGGGAGCUGGCGACAGCCACGCCAAGGGAGGAGCAGGUGCGUGCCCAGGCAGGCUUCUCAGACCCCAGGCUGGCGCAGAGGCCAGACUUGCCAACCUUUAUUGUAGAAUCGUGGUUAUACGUGUUAGCAUUUAAGCUGCUUUGUUGCUUUGGACAGGGUGAAUGUUCUCUGCUCAGAGGGGCCUGGUGGGAUUAAGUUCAGUGUUGGGCAGAAGAGCAUGGACAGAUGUUUGUGAAAAUGAAGAGGAGGCUUACCCAGACUCAUUGGUUCAGGCCAGAAACCCAGGACUGUCCUUGAUGCCGCCUUUUUUUUUUCUCCCUUCUUUCAUCUCCAAAAUCAACUCUAUCUGCAAGUUCUUUUGUUUUCCUUCCAAGUUCUAUCCGACUCUCCACCUGUCCACUGGUGUCACCCUCGUCCAUGCCACACUUUUUCUUUGCCUGACAUCUGUCACAUUUUCCUAUUUGGACUCCUGUCUCCACUCUUGUUCCUCUUGCAGGAUAUUCCCAGUGCAAGGACUAGCAGAACCUAUUGAAAGUGUAGAUGGGAGUAGGCCAGUAGCUCGCUUCACCCCACAGUGACUUUGCACCUGUUUGGCGUAUAAUCAGCCUGCCCUCAUCUUUCAUUUCCCGUGGUUUGCCCCUUCCUUCUAGGCACACUGACCCCUCCCAUACCCAGGGUACACCCAGCGUGAUCCUGUUCAGCCUCUCUGUUUGCCCCACCCUCAGCCACCCGUCUCUGUGUGCUGACUCCUGUGUGCUGUUCAGGUCUCACCUCAGAUGUCACUGUGUCCUCAGAACCCUCCCUGCUGACCCAGUCUAACAGAGUCCCUGUCAUUCCCUCUCGUCGCAGUUUUCUCUCAUCAUGUUACUGUCUGAAAUAAUCUCUUGUCUUUUUUUUUUUCAGUUUUAUCCUUAUUUCCCCCCACCCCCCAGCUCUUACAGGGUAAGGACGGUGGUUGACUUUUCUCAGCUGUGUCCAGCAUCUGGACGUGCCUGAGUACAGACACUCACCGAUUAAGUGGACAUGGGAGGGGCCCCUGAAGAUGGCUGCCGUAGAAGGGGUGCACAUGGCUGCAGAGCUGCCUGAAGGGUGAUCCGCAGCCCCGUCAGCGUCUCCUCUAGUGUUUUCCUGGGAAGUGCUGCUCUUGACCUUGUCUUGGAGGUUUGAAAGUUAAAAAGUAAGGUGCAUCAGGUUAAAGCAGCCGCCUGCUGUGCAGGCAUCCCUUAUGGGCGCCCGUUUGAGCCCUGGCUGCUCCACUUUGAUCCAGCUCCCUGCUAAUAUGCCUAGGAAGGCAGCAGAGAAUGGCCCAAGUGUUGGCCCAAGUGUUGGCCCAAGUGUUUGGGUCCCUGCACCCACAUGGGAGACUAGGAUGAAGCUCCUGCCUCCUGGCUUUGGCCUGGCCCAGCCCCAGGCCAUUAUGGCCAUUUGAGGAAUGAACCAGCAGGUGGGAAACCUCUCUCUCUCUCUCUCUCUCUCUCUCUCUCUCUCUCCCUCCCUCCCUCCCUCUCCCUCUCUCCCUCCUUCCCUCCCUCUCUCUCCCUCUCUCUCCCUCUCUCUCCCUCAAAGUAAUUCUUACCUUCAAAUACAUAAAUAAACAAACCUUUAAAAUUUUUUUGAGAUUUAGAGAUUAAAAGAGUGGCUGUACUCAAGUGAGGUACACAGUUCAUGUUCCUAGUACUCUUGGCCUGCGGUCAGGGCUCAGCUGUGGGGUUGGCCUCUGGUGCCAGCGACUGAAUCUGAGUUCACUCCCCCCACGCCCGAGAGCCAGGCCUUUUCUCUGGCUUCUCCCACAGCACGCUUCCGAGCAUGAUGGGAACACUUCCUGGGUUCCAGCAUUCAUUCUGGAGUUAGGCAGCCAGUCUGUUAAGGUGAGGGUGUUUGCAGACUAAAUUUCGGUGAGCAGCUUUUAGCUACUUUGAUUUUCCUCCGGCAGUGUUGGGGGUGGGGGGCAGCCCCUGGCUCAACUACAUCCAGUUUCUUGUCUCCACUUGAGAAAGAAUUCUGGAAAGAGACGUAGAAGUGAGCAGGAGUGCAAUAUUUAUUUAAAGCAAAAGUACACACUCAAGAGUCUUAAGUGCAGGCAAGCUAGAGAGAAUGAGCAGCCCUUACCAAGGCCUGGAGCUGUCCUGUUAUAUGACCUGGAGGCAUAAGGGGUGGUGUUGGGGUGGGGCUUAAUUGAAUAUUCAAAGGGAGUGGGUUCUAGGUGGGGCUUGAAUACCACCCAUUUCUGUGCCCAUGUUUGGAAACCUCAGAGGGGUCAGGGCACUAGGUGUGUGAUGGGAGUGGGAGUCUUGGCCAUAGUGAUGCUGUUACAAUGACCUAAAGUUCAUCACAGGACACAGCUCCUGGCCGUACUGGAGAUUUCUAGUUGGCACUGAUUCUAAGUUUGGAAUGUUGCGGAACUUGCAGUUUUUGCUGCACGGAAACACGUGGUGGUUGGACAGUGGGUGGAAAAGGGGUUUGAAUGGUGCAAACUGGGCUGUCAUGGUUACAACACUGGCUGGGGCUUCUAAAUGGACUGGCCAGAGCUGUCAUGUGGGGUGGCUGUGGCUGUGGCUGUCACACGGGUCAGCUCAGCCAGGGCUGUUAAACCUCUGCUCCUCUGUGCUCUCCGCCCACAUCAGCAACAUCUAGAUUUUUAAGAAUAGGACGUUAGGCCACUGAGACCUAGAAAGUCAGUGAGGGUGCGUUGAAGUGGUUGCCUUUCCAAGUCGCUGAGGCUCAACUACGUUAUGCCUCUCCAAGCUGUGUGUUGGAGUGUUUAUCGUGCUCUUCAAUGUGCUAGCUGGGGACUGGAUUGUAGAACUCAGGAGACCUCUGUCUGCUUAGCACAAGCUCCCCUUUGUGCCAUAGACUUCUUGCUGCUGUCUCCCUGGGCUGUGUUACAGUGGUUGGGUUGUACCAAGAACAAUCACUUUACACUCAAUUGAAAGUGAAUGGACCUUGGUAGAACUGAGACCCAGGGCUAAGCCCUGGAGCUGGAGGAGGUGUCUUUGAUCAUCAGUGCUUUAGGCCAAGUUUCAGAAACUUCUCUCCCAUCUCCUGUCUGGGACCCAGUGCCAACCCAUCCAGGUGUUUGACUCUUCCUGGUUCCCCGGAGGAAUAAACAGGACGAGCACAGGCACACAGCCUCGCCUGUGCCGUCUUGAGGUGUGCGCAGUGGAGGUUGGUUUGCUCAGUGUAUGAGGCCUGUGUGUGGAGCAGGUGGGUGUUUUCCCGUGGCUGUGGCAGUGAGCUGUUACGUGUGCAUGUCAGCAGGGAGAAUACUUGGGACUGCAUGUCAGACACUGGUUUCCUGUUAGUGCAAACUCGGUAAGCCAACCCUGUGGAAAGUGACGAACAGAUUAUUAGAAGUGUGCGCAGUAUGCCACAUUCUGUAUAUGGUAAUUAACUGCUUAAUUGUUUGAAAAUGAAACAGGCCCCUCUGAUCCAACCUGAAUGGGAAACGGCUGCGAUCAAACCUGAAGCAGUGAGAUUGGCACUUCCAGAUGGACAUACUUGUGUUUAAUUGGCCUUGAAUGUUACUGUUAGCCAUUUCUCUCUUUCCUUGAAAGAGCCAAGAUGAUUUCUUGCUCACAACAGCUUGUUUUUUCUUUUUUCUUCCUAUUGUCUUUUCAUGGUACAAUAUUUACAAAAGUUUCUGGCUAAUCCUUAGUCCAUCACUUUCCCUCUUCCUUGCAAAUGCUGUGUUUUCUAAAAACUGCCGCCUUAGGAAACUUCCGAGUCCUGAUUUGGUUGUCAGAUCGCUGCUUCGUACUCCUUGUCUGGUUACUGCAGUUGGCUCACCAAGCGUUUCUCAGACUUGGCUGUGGAGCUUAAAUACUUGCUAGAAUUUUAGUGUGUCCUGAUUUUGAGAAGAAUAUUGUAUAUAAUUUACAAGAUCUGUUAAUACAGUCUGUGUGCCGGUGAGGGACGGUGGCAUUGGCCUGUGACUUGGCUCCUCAGGGUGGCGCAGUGCAGUUGGUUUCCCAGGGGACAUCCGGGGAGGUGCUGGGAGAGGCUUCCGCCGAGCCUCUGAAUGGAAUCCCCUUUGCUUCACCUGGCUGAGCUCGGCUGGCCUGAGUCCAGGAGGGACCUCUUUGUAUUAAUUAAUUAAUUUAUUUGAGAGGCAGAGUUACAGACAGAGGGAGAGAGAAAGGUCUUCCAUCUGCUGGUUCACACCCCAAAUGGCUGCAGCGGCCAAAGCUGAGCCAGUCUGAAGCCAGGAGCCAGGAGCUUCUUCCAGGUCUUCCACGUGUGCAGGGGCCCAAGGACUUUGGCCAUCUUCUGCUGCUUUCCAAGGUCACAGCAGAGAGCUGGAUCAGAAGAAGAGCAGCUGGGUCUCGAACCGGUGCCCAUGUGGGAUGCCGGUGCUGCAGGCGGAGUCUUAACCUACCACCCCACAGCGCCGGCCCCCUCAUCACAUAUCAGUCCUCCAAACAGGUACCUGGUUGACCUGGAACCCCAGGUUUGCUUUGCUUGGGUUAUUAUUUCUAAUGGAGAAGUGGACAGUCUUGACUCAGUGCCAAGAUUCGCUUGCCUUCCAUCACUUCCUUGUGUCUGCAGGGAGUUCAGGUUGUCCCUGUGUCUGUGACGCCGUCUGUGCUGUGCUGCUCCUCCGUGUGGGAGGAUGUGCCGCCCUGGUGGCCCCGGCUCUGAUGUGCGUGAUGAUGAGUCGUAAAGGCCGUGUGCUGGGAGGCAGGCUGCAGCCAGUGCGUGCUGGGUUACAGGGUUUUCCUGACGGAUGGAGCCUCUUCUGGGAGGCAGCCUACUCCUUCAUGUGCACAGCCUUUCUAAAUAAAUGACUGCUUUCUGAUAUUUUGAAUCAUUUCCUUCAGCACAUGUUUUGUUGCUGUGGUUUGAAAGCUUGCCAGAUACAUGCCUUUGCGCAAGUCCCUGUAGGGCUGGGUAUACAAUCAGACCAAACCGUGUGAUUGAAGGCAGAACAUAAUUGGGAACUCAACAAUCGCCUUAUUUUGAUAGAAUGGUGGUGGGGUGCUUGGGAGUUAUUUCUCCGUUAAAUAUGUAAGACACACAAACACACAUAGGGUGUCACUGCCUCCUAACACAAACACACGUAGGGUGUCACUGCCUCCUAACAGAGAAGUGUCUGAAGCGCCACUGGGCAGAACACCAGCAUGAUAAAUAAUUACUUGACUUUUGUGAUGGAGGGAAUAGUUAACUUCAGACACGUCCUAGCACUUGACACCAUAGAUGUCAGGACCUCAGUCACGCUACGUAAGGUGGCAGGAGGGAAGAAAAUGAGAUGGAGUAGAAAUACAUUUUAAACCCAAGCCUCUGUCAGGUCUGCCACCAGAUGAUCUGUUUCUUGUUUCUCUGUACUUGGGUGAUUGAGCCAUAAACUUGGUGAACUUGAUGUCGCCUCCCCGUUAAACAAGGGUUUUUGCUUUUUUUACGUUUCAAACACAGCUGUGUGUUUUUUUAUUGUUGGAUUGUCAGUUACCUGUAAUUGAGACCUUUCAUGGGCCUCUGUGCUGGUGGGAAAAAUGCUAUUAACAGCCUCCCUCCCUGGCGUGCUUUCAGAUGAAAUUGAGAGCUCUUUGGAAAGUCAUAUGUGAAAUCCAAAGUUUUGUUUACAAGGCCAGUAGAGAUCGUAUUACCAGGAGCUUAGGAUAAAUACCCGGAUGAAAGAGGAUGCAGGGGCACCGUAGCAGCUGCUGCUGCUUCCCUGCCAGGCACGCCGGUGUGCGCCAGGCCCGCCGCCAGCACUGCGGACUGCACAGGAGAAAGCCGUGAUGCGUGAGAAGUCGCAGCUCUCCUAGUUCCUCCACGAUGGUGUGUCCUGUUGCUGCGCCAUCAGCCAGCCUCCCUUGUCGGCUGCAAGAGAGCGUCAAGCUAAUAAGGAAAUAAAACUCCGAGGUCAAAGUGUUGUCAUCCCAGUUCACGCAUUUACAGUGAAUUUUCCCCAAAUUUUUGCUUCUGGAAUUUUAGGCACUCUAAUAAUGCAAAAGCAUCUGUCUUUCAGAGUUCCACCCAGUCAGAUCAUUCCAGGUGCAGAAUUUAGCUUUUAUUUGCAAACAACAUGAUUAUGAGAACCCCUAUGGAACCUAUCCAAGAAAAAAAUCUCCUACAAGAAUAAUACGUGACUUUAACAAGGCUACAAGGCAUAAGAUCAAUUUUACUCCUAUAUGUUAGCAACACACAAUUCAAGGCAGACGUUUAAAAGUACUGUUUACAAUAGCUUCAGAAGCAUCAAAUACCUUAGAAUAAAACUAAGGAAAUGUCAACAACCUCUGCACUGGAGACGAUAGAAUGUCACUGAGCGAAGUUAGAGAUUACAUAAAUGGAGAGUUAUUUUAUGUAUUCAAAGACGCAGUAUUGUUAGGAUGCCUAUUUUCCCUAAAUUGAUUUAUGAAUUCAAUGCCAGCCUGGUCAAAAUUUAGACAAGCUGAUUGUAAAGUUUAUAUGGAAAUGUAAAGGGCUUAAAAAACCCAAAUCAGUUUUGAAAAAGAACAAAGCUGGAAGAUUGCACUGCCUGAUUUCAAGACUUCCUAUAAAGCUAACAGUAAUCAAGACAGCGUGGUACUGCAAGAGCAUAGACACAGGAAUCAAUGGGACAAAAUAGAGUCCAGAAAUAGACCUGCACACUCCUGGGAUCAGCUGGCUGGAUGAGGUGCACAGGCAAUUCGCUAGAGAGGGGAGAGCGGCAGUGGAGCCGGAAACAGAGGAAAUCCCUCAGCUGAUACUCUAUGUGUACCAAAGACAGACAAAAGCCUCAAAAUGGAGGCUAGACCUGAGUUUAAAUUCUGAAACUAUGAAACUUCCAGAAGAAAACAUAGAUGAAAAGUUCUGUGACUUUGGGAUAGGCGAUGAUGUCUUAGAUAUGGCACCAAAAACACAACCCUAAGAAUUGGAAGUUAGAUUUUAUAAAAGUGAAGAAAUUUUGAAGAAGACAUCGUUAAAACAAUGAAAAGGCAAACCAAACAGGAGGAACCUUGUGCAAAGCAUGUAUUUAAUAAAGGGGCUUGGGAUGAGAAUAUAUGAACAAUUCUUUAAAACUCAGUGGUUUGAAAACACCCUAAUUUUGAAGUGGGCGAGAGAUUUGAAUAGACUUCUGAAGAUACAGACGGCCACAAAGCACGUGAGAGAUACGCAACGAUGUUAGUCAUCAGGGAAUAAAGCUGAAACCAGGCCGCGGCAGGAGCACACACCUGUCGGGAUGUCUUCAAAAGGCAGAAUGAAACCAGAACACCCUGGUGCUGCCAGUGCUGGAGAGCCGCGGGAGCCACUGAAACUCCUGUCUUGGUUGGCAGAAUGCAGAGUGGCUCAUCCAGUUUAGAAACAAAUUUCAGUUUCUGAUAAAUCUACACUUUAAAAUUUUAAAAAUGCACUUGUAAUAUGACCCAGGGGCCACACUUUUAGGUAUUUUUAUCUAAGAGAAUGACAGGUUAUUUUUUAUGCAGAAACACGCAUGUGAAUGUUUACAGUGGCUUUACUCACUAUCCCCAGAAAUUGAACACAACCCAAAUGUCAUUCAGCUGGUGAAUGAAUUAACAACUUCAUUGAAAUACUAGUCAGCAGUGGGAAGAAACAAACUGACAUAAUGCCGACGAAUCCCAAAUGCAUCAUGCGUAGUGCUCAAAAGACUACAGGCUGUCUGGUGCCAUUUAUGCCACCGUUUGGAAAAGGCAAAACUGUGAAAAGAAAGCCCUAAAUGGUGUUGGGGACUGGGGAUGGUGGUGGCUCCCCACCUGCAUGUAGGACAUGUGGGGUUUUUUGGGGUCAUGGCAGUUUUCUAUCUCUUGAUUGUGGUUGUGGCUACACAGCUGUAUAGAGUUUGUCAAAAUUAUGAACCUGCUCACUUUGAGCAAGUACUGCUCAGAGGAGGAUACACAAGUGGCCAGUGGGUGCUCAGUUCUUCCGUCGCAGAGAAAUAUGAACUAAAACCACCAUGAGAAACCGUCUGUUAGCACAGCUGAAUUGAAAAGAUGGCUGUGGCGCUCCUGUGUUUCUGGUGAGGGGAUUAAGUGAUUUCUCUUUGGAGGCCUGUUUGACAGCCCUCCCUCCCCCAUUACACAUACAUCUGCUGUGACCCAAUAAUUUAACUCUUGUCUGUUUACCUCGGAGAAAUGAAAGUACAUGCUCACAGAAUUAUAUGAACAAGACCAUAGAAAGCCCUAACUGGAAAUAGCCCCAGUGUCCAUCCACUGAAAAAUGAAUAAGUAGUUCCAGUAGAAUCCUGCUCAGCAGUAAAGAAUGAACUGCCCGUACGACCAUGCGGGUGGAGCGCAAAGCUGACAGCAGUCCCCGCCGUAUGAGCGUCUCCAGGUAAAGUCAGAGCGGAUGCGACGUGGUCAGAAGUGGUUUCUUGAGAGAAGGAAGGGAAGUUGAUUGUCUAGAAGGAGGUAAGCAGGCUUGGUUGAAGUGUGCUAACUCCCAUUCUGGGUGUUGAUUACACGAUGUGUACAAUUGGUAGAACUCACUGGACAGAUUAAGAUCUGUACAUUUUGUUGGGCGUUACUUAUGCCUUAAUAAAAAACUGUCUUUAAAUUCCACUGUAGUAGACACUUCAUUCAGUCCUAAAUCCUCUCAAGUGUGUACUUUAUUUGGUUGUCGUCGUGUGCAUUUUGUGUAGCCCCAGUUUUUAUGUGGUGCAUCUUGUUGGCGUCUUCAGUGGUCCACUGAGUCUCCAGGAAAAGCUUCACUUCUGCUUGAGCUGUUGGUGCAGCUCCGGCCUUGGACUGUUGAGGCUUCCAAACAGGUGAGUAGCCCAUGUUUCUGACUCGGGUCCCAUUGCAUCUUCCUUUGUUUAACAUUCCAGUCUCUGUAGAACCUCAGUGUUGCAGAGAACUUGAAGACCUUCCAUCUGCUUCUCGUAAGGGACAGGCACUACUAGAAGCUAGGGUGGCCAGCAUCUGACCUUAUGGGCCGAGCUGGGUGAGCGGGGACAAGGAGCGGUGCUGGGGCCAGCAUCCGGCCUUAUGGGCUGAGCUGGGUGAGUGGGGACAAGGAGCGGUGCAGGGGCCAGCAUCCGGCCUUAUGGGCCGAGCUGGGUGAGCGGGGACAAGGAGCGGUGCUGGGGCCAGCACUGUGGCAGAGUGGGUGAAGCCUCUGCUUGCGAUGCAGCAUCUCUAUGGACGCCAGUUCAUGUUUUGGCUGCUCCAUUUCUGAUCAAGUUUCCUGCUGUGGCCUGGGAAAAGCAGUGGUAGAUGAACCAAGUCCUUGGGCUCCUGCUACCCUCAUGGGAGACCUGGAAGAAGUUCCUGACUUUGGCCUGGCCCCAGCACUGGCUGUUGUGGCCAUCUAGGGAGUGACCUAGGAGAUGAAAGAUCUCUUUCUUUCAGCCUCGCCCCUCCCUGUAACACUUUCAAAUAAAUAAAUACAUCUUAAAAAAAAAAAAAA